UCGGCAUACUGCUCAGUAACACGUGGAUAACCUGCCCUAUUGUCUGGAAUAACCUCGGGAAACUGAGAACAAUGCCGGAUAGCCCACAAUGCCUGGAACGGUUUGUGGGUGAAUUUUGCAAUAGGAUGGGUCUGCGGCGUAUCAGGUCGUAGGGGGUGUAAUGGACCUCCUAGCCAUCGACGCGUACGGGUGUUGGGAGACAUAGCCCGGAGAUGGAUUCUGAGACACGAAUCCAGACCCUACGGGGUGCAGCAGGCGCGAAAACUUCACACUGCAGGAAACUGUGAUGAGGGAACUCCAAGUGCUAUCACUAUGUGGUAGCUUUUCUUAACUAUUAAUCGGUUUUGGAAUAAGGGCUGGGAAAGACCGGUGCCAGCCGCCGCGGUAAUACCGGCAGCUCAAGUGGUCGUCGCUUUUAUUGGGCCUAAAACGUCCGUAGCCUGUUUGGUAAAUCUGUGGGUAAAUCAACCAGCUUAACUGGUUGAAUUCUGCAGAGACUGCCAGACUAGGGACCGGGAGAGGUGUGGGGUACUCUAGGGGUAGGGGUAAAAUCCUGUCAUCCUUAGAGGACCACCAGUUGCGAAGGCGCCACACUGGAACGGAUCCGACGGUCAGGGACGAAGCCUAGGGGCACGAACCGGAUUAGAUACCCGGGUAGUCCUAGGUGUAAACGCUGUGAACUUGGUGUCGGGGAUCCGUAAUGGGUUCUCGGUGCCGGAGUGAAGAUGUUAAGUUCACUGCCUGGGGAGUACGGUCGCAAGGCUGAAACUUAAAGGAAUUGGCGGGGGAGCACUGCAACGGGAGGAGCGUGCGGUUUAAUU
rnacentral:rRNA from 1 species